rnacentral:rRNA from 1 species
ACAGGCUUAACACAUGCAAGUCGAGGGGCAGCGGGGUAGUGCUUGCACUACUGCCGGCGACCGGCGCACGGGUGAGUAACACGUAUGGAACCUGCCCGCAGCAGGGGGAUAAGCGGAAGAAAUUCCGUCUAAUACCGCGUAACAACGUUGGGAGGCAUCUCCCGAUGUUUAAAGAUUUAUCGGCUGCGGAUGGCCAUGCGGCGCAUUAGCUAGUCGGCGGGGUAACGGCCCACCGAGGCGACGAUGCGUAGGGGUUCUGAGAGGAAGGUCCCCCACACUGGUACUGAGACACGGACCAGACUCCUACGGGAGGCAGCAGUGAGGAAUAUUGGUCAAUGGCCGAGAGGCUGAACCAGCCAAGUCGCGUGAGGGAAGACGGCCCUACGGGUUGUAAACCUCUUUUGUCGGGGAGCAAAGCGAACCACGUGUGGUUCAUUGAGAGUACCCGAAGAAAAAGCAUCGGCUAACUCCGUGCCAGCAGCCGCGGUAAUACGGAGGAUGCGAGCGUUAUCCGGAUUUAUUGGGUUUAAAGGGUGCGCAGGCGGAGGUGCAAGUCAGCGGUCAAAUUGCGGGGCUCAACCCCGUACUGCCGUUGAAACUGCAUCCCUUGAGUGCGCGAGAAGUAUGCGGAAUGCGUGGUGUAGCGGUGAAAUGCAUAGAUAUCACGCAGAACUCCGAUUGCGAAGGCAGCAUACCGGCGCGCAACUGACGCUCAUGCACGAAAGCGUGGGUAUCGAACAGGAUUAGAUACCCUGGUAGUCCACGCAGUAAACG